rnacentral:lncRNA from 1 species
AGGUAGAACAUCUAGCUAGGACUAGUUUAGACCAUGCUCCACUUCUAUUAUCUUGUGGAGUUUAUGUUCCUAUGGGAUCAACACCAUUCAAAUUCUUAAAUUCUGGACAGAAAGAGAGGAAUUCAUGGAUGUAGUGAGAGCUAAUUAGGUAAUUAGUGUAUGUAUUGACUUUUUGGUCAACUUAAGCAUAAAAUAAAGAGAACUAAAAUUGCUCUAUCUAGAUGGAGUAGAUCUUAUU